rnacentral:rRNA from 1 species
UUGAAAGGGAAACGAUUGAAGUCAGUCGUACCUGUGGGUAAUCAGCCUUUUGGGUGUGAUUUUGUGGAGUGUGAGGAGUUAAACGCCUUCAUGCCUGCAUAUUCGUGCACUUUGGGUGUAUUUGCCCGUGUGGUAAGUUAACAUCAAUUUUGGUGGUCAUAAAAUGGCUGGAGGAAUGUAGCUUCGAUCUCGUAUUGAAGUGUUAUAGCCUUCGGUAGAUGUGAUUAUCGGGAUUGAGGAUUGCAACGGAUACCCUUCGGGCUACCUGUCUGAUCUCUGAUCGUUGCUCUGGUGCCGAAAGCUUGCUUACGGUUAUCAAAGUCGAUGGUCAAUAGGUUAGAACGGGUUAAAUUCGUUAAGGAUGUUGACGUA